AUUGAACGCUGGCGGCAUGCCUUACACAUGCAAGUCGAACGGCAGCACGGGUGCUUGCACCUGGUGGCGAGUGGCGAACGGGUGAGUAAUACAUCGGAACGUACCGUAUCGUGGGGGAUAACGCAGCGAAAGCUGUGCGAAUACCGCAUACGCGCUGAGGGGGAAAGCGGGGGAUCGCAAGACCUCGAGCGAUCAGAGCGGCCGAUGCCUGAUUAGCUUGUUGGUGGGGUAAAAGCCCACCAAGGCGACGAUCAGUAGCUGGUCUGAGAGGACGAUCAGCCACACUGGGACUGAGACACGGCCCAGACUCCUACGGGAGGCAGCAGUGGGGAAUUUUGGACAAUGGGGGCAACCCUGAUCCAGCAAUGCCGCGUGAGUGAAGAAGGCCUUCGGGUUGUAAAGCUCUUUUGUCAGGGAAGAAACACCGGCUCUAACACAGUCCGGGAAUGACGGUACCUGAAGAAUAAGCACCGGCUAACUACGUGCCAGCCGCCGCCGUAA
rnacentral:rRNA from 1 species